UACGGAGGGUGCAAGCGUUUGUCCGGAUUUAUUGGGUUUAAAGGGUGCGUAGGUGGCUCAUUAAGUCAGUGUUUAAAGUCAACAGCUCAACUGUUGGAAUGGCAUUGAUACUGAUGAGCUUGAGUAAAGUUGAGGUAGACAGAAUUGAUGGUGUAGCGGUGAAAUGCAUAGAUAUCAUCAAGAAUACCGAUUGCGAAGGCAGUUUACUAAGCUUUAACUGACACUGAGGCACGAAAGUGUGGGGAUCAAACAGG
rnacentral:rRNA from 1 species